UAUAGCACAAUGGAUAGCGCAUUGGACUUCUAAUCGAAAUGUCGUGGGUUCGAAACCUAUCUAA